rnacentral:rRNA from 1 species
UUGGGUGUUUAUAGCGACCUGGUCCCACCCGAUCCCAUUCCGAACUCGGAAGUUAAGCAGGUCUGCGGCGAAGAUAUUGCAGGGGAAGCCCUGUGUGAAAAUAGCACGAUGCCCAUU